CUGCGGCGCUGUGACUCAGCACGUGGGGCACGGAGCGGGCAGCGCAGCGCAGCGCACCGGGCGCACGGCGGCCCCGGGAGCGGGGACGGGCGCGAAUUUCUUCCGGAGGCAGAGAUCAUCAGCGGCAGCAACAUGGAAGGCAGUGAUGGGUGGCAGUUUCGUCAGCUGCUCCUGCUCAUUGACGAAAAACUGGGGUCUGAAGAUGUAGCAGCAUUGAAAUUUCUCUGUACUGACUUGAUCACCUUCAGAAAACUAGAAAGCGUGCAGUCAGCAAUGGACAUUUUUCAGCUUCUUAUAGACAAAGAUUAUCUGAAUGAGGAAGACACUUUCCUGCUAGCUGAACUGUUAUACAGAAUUAAAUAUCACUCCUUGCUCAGUACACUUGGCUAUACCAAGGAGAAAGUGCAAGAACGCCUACAUGAGAAGGGAAAAGUGUCUCCAUACAGGCAGAUGCUGUAUGAACUGUCAGAGAACAUUACCAAUGAGAUGCUGCAGGAAAUUGUAUUCCUCCUGAGAAACCAUCUUCCAAAGCGACGUAGAACUGCUUCUGCUUUGGAGUUGCUGAUUUUAUUGGAAAAACAGGGUCUUUUAACUGAGAACAAUGUGCAGACACUGGAGGAAGUCUUUACAAGUGUUUCACCUGAUCUCCUGGCAACAGUAAACUGCUACAGAAUGGCAAAAGUGUCUCUGCCUCAGCAGGAGAAUACUCUGCCAAUCAAGGAAUCUUCACCAUCUAACAAUGCAGACAUCAGAGUAUUCAAUUCCCCUCAGGAGACCUCAAUCAGAUUUGUCAGUCCCAGUAUCCAUGGUCAUUGUGUUGAGGAACCUGUGAGCUCAUGGGAACUUACUGGAAGAGUGAACUCUAUUCCUGGAAGCCAAGAUAACAUGGCACCUAAUCUUACACAAGUCUUCUCUAAAAUGAACCUGCAGCUGUCAGGAGGAUUCAGUGGAGCAGAAAAUGAACCCAAGGUGUCAAGUUACAAAAUGGAUGGACCACAGAGAGGAAUUUGUCUUGUUAUUAAUAAUGUUAAAUUUGAUGGUGAUCUUCCAGAGAGGAAGGGUUCUUAUAAAGAUGCCUGGGAAUUGGAUAGAGUAUUCACAUGGCUUGGUCUGGAAGUGAGGACUUAUACAGAUCAGACAUCCGAUCAGAUUAAAGAACUGAUGCAAACAUGGCAGCGUUCAGAAGACCACAAGGGUAGGGACUGCUUUGUUUGUUGCAUUCUAUCUCACGGAGAGUCAGGAGCAGUAUAUGGGAAAGAUGGGAAGCUCGUAUCAAUCCGCACGAUCAUGGCCCACUUCACUGCCAAACAAUGUCCACAGUUGACUGAAAAACCCAAACUAUUCUUUGUCCAAGCAUGCCAAGGUAAAGACAUACAGCGUCCUGUCUAUGUUGAAGCUGAUGCACGAGUUCCUGACUUCUCUUCUAUACAACAGAGCAUUUCUCCUUCUGAAAGUAUUCCCGAAGAGGCUGAUUUUCUCCUAGGCAUGGCCACAAUUGAUGGAUAUGUCUCUUUCCGGCAUGUUCAAGAGGGUACUUGGUAUAUUCAGGCCUUGUGCAGCAAGCUACAGUUGUUGGUACCAAGGGGUGAAGAUAUUUUGUCCAUCCUUACAGAAGUUAAUGAAGAUGUUAGCAGGCGGGUUGACCGUUAUGGGACAAGGAAGCAGAUGCCCCAGCCAGCAUAUACUUUAAGAAGAAAACUUAUAUUCCCAAUACCUAGAGGUCCUCCUCCUUCACGGCAAUAUUGAAAUUUUUUUAAUACAGCCUUUUGUCAAUAUGUCUCUUUUAAUGCAAUUCACAGCACCUGUUUAAAGCAGUUACUGAGACUCCUGAGGUCUCCUGAGUGCCAAGGCAAAGCCCCUUUUUUUUUUGUUUUUUUCUUGCCAGAGAAACUUUGAAGCUGAUCUGGAAGAGAUGCAGUUAAUGCAAUCCAUGUGCCAGCUAUUUAUAUCAUCUAUAUAUUCAGAGUUUUCAAGGUUGGGAGAAGCAAGUUCCUAUGAUGUUAAACAUUUUUGCACUGGCACAGACUGCAGAUGUAAAAGCAUAUUUCAGCAACAAUGAAUUUUAUCAGUACAAGCACUGACAGGAAUCUUAGAAUCAUAAGAGUUAUCUGGGUUGGAAGAGACCUUAAUGACACUCAUGGUGUAACUGUCUCAGUGGACAAGGGAAAAGCUGCUGAUGUCAUCUGUCUGGACUUCAGUAAGGCCUUUGAAAGAGUUUCCCAUAACAUCCUCCUCUCCAAAUCAGGAAUAUAUGGAUUUGACAGGUGGACUGUAUGAUGGAUGAGGAACAGAUUGCUAGAUCAUACCCAGAAAGUAGUGGUCAAUGGCUCAGUGUCCAGAUGGAGAUUGGUGACAAGUUACAUCCCUCGGGUCAGUACUGAAACUGGUGAUCUCAACAUUUUAAUCAGUGAUGCUCACAGUGGGAUGGAGUGCACCCUCAGCAAGUUUGUGGACAACAACAAGUUGUAUGGUGUGAUCAACAAGCCUAAGAGGCCAGAUGCCAUUCAGGAAGACCUAAAUAGGCUUGAGCAGUGGGCUUAGGUGAACCUCAUGAGGUAAAUCCAAGUGCAAGGUCUUGCACAUGAGUUGUGACAACCCCCACUAUCAAUGCAAGUUGAAGGACAAAUGAACACAGCCCUGCCAAAAAGGAUGUGGGGAUACUGGUGGUUGGUAAGCUGGACAUGAGCCCUUGCAACCCAGAAAGCCAGCUGUAUCCUGGGUUGCAUCAAAGGAAAUGUGGUCGACAGGUUUUACUGCAUCUAGAUGUGGAGUCUUCAGUACAAAAGAGAUGUGGACCUAUUAGAGUGUGUUCAGUGGAGAGCCACAAAAACAUUCAAGGGAUGGAGCACCUCCCCUAUGAAGACAGGCUGAGAGAGCUGGAGUCUUUCAGCCUGGAGAAGAGAAGACUCUGGGAAGACCUGAUAGCAGCCUUUCGGUAUCUAAAGAAGACUACAAGAAGGAAGGGGAGAGAUUCUAGCAGGUUUGCUGUAAUAGGACAAGGGGAAAAUAUUUCACAAUAAAAGGGGGAGAUUUAGAUAGGGCAUGUGGAAAAAGAUUUGUUAUAAUUCAUUUAUAAUUUCAUUUUCAUACAUUUCAUAAAUUCAUUACAUAUAAUUUAUUCAGAAGAUCUUUAAAGUGGGAUUUUAUAUCAUUGACAAGUCUUGUCCACACUGACAGUUAUUUAAAGUGUGGUUUAAGUGGUUUAUCCUGGCCUUUGCCAGUAGAGGCCAGUCACUAUGCUGAGUAGUCAGUUCCCUUAACAUUUUUCACUUCCUUGAAGCCAGCCUUUCUGGGAGACCUGAAUUCUUGGGCUGCUUUACUAAGAAUUAAUUGGAUCAUCGAGACUGUUCUUGGUGAAGCUGGAGGAGUAAAACAGGGCUGCAGAAGAGCUGAGGGAAAUUGGAGCGUCUAAUGGUUACCAAAGAGUGGGAAUAUUUUGGGGAAA